CCUACGGGAGACAGCAGUGAGGAAUAUUGGUCAAUGGACGAGAGUCUGAACCAGCCAAGCAGCGUGAAGGACGACUGCCCCAUGGGUUGUAAACUUCUUUUAUAUGGGAAUAAAAUGUUCCACGUGUGGGUUUUUGUAUGUACUAUAUGAAUAAGGAUCGGCUAACUCCGUGCCAGCAGCCGCGGUAAUACGGAGGAUCCGAGCGUUAUCCGGAUUUAUUGGGUUUAAAGGGUGCGUAGGUGGAUUGUUAAGUCAGUUGUGAAAGUUUGCGGCUCAACCGUAAAAUUGCAGUUGAAACUGGCAGUCUUGAGUAGAGUAGAGGUGGGCGGAAUGCGUGGUGUAGCGGUGAAAUGCUUAGAUAUCGCGAAGAACUCCGAUUGCGAAGGCAGUUCACUGGACGGGAACUGACACUGAGGCUCGAAAGUGUGGGUAUCAAACAGGAUUAGAUACCCGAGUAGUC
rnacentral:rRNA from 1 species